rnacentral:miRNA from 1 species
GCCUCAGUUGCCCCAUCUGUGCCCUGGGUAGGAACAUCCUGGGUAGGAACAUCCUGGAUCCCCUUGGGUCUGAUGGGGUAGCUGAUGC